AGCAGAGUGGCCUACUGGAAAGAGCAUGGGCUUGGGAGUCAGAGGUCAUGGGUUCUAAUCCCGUCUCUGCCA
rnacentral:tRNA from 1 species